UUUUUUUAAUGGCGCCUGAGAAUGUUAUUUUAGUCGAGACCGCCAGGUCGAGACCUAAAAGACAUUCGAAGGCGCCAUUAAAACAUGAAUUUCGCCACGAAAUACAAACAACGUUUUUUCUACAGCCUCCAGAUGAAGAAAAAAGUAACAGAAAUUAGUUGGAACAAAAUGGUCUGAUAAAUCGAGUUGCUUGCAUGGUUACGAUGAUAAAUAAAAGUGAUAGUUGCGAAAAAUUUGUCACAAUAGGUAUUUUUGUUGAAGAAGUGUGAUGGAUUUUAGCAGCGAAAACGAAAUAGAUGCAAUUGCAAGCGCGGCAGUGUCGAAUCUUUUGCCUGCUAAAUCAAGACCGCAGUACGAAAAAACGUAUCUUCAGUUUCGGCAGUGGUGUUCUAUGAAAAAGAUUGAUCAAGUAACGGAAAAUGUUUUGUUGGCGUAUUUGGAAGAAAAGUCUACCACCUUAAAGCCACCAACACUCUGGGCCCUUUAUGCGAUGUUGAAAGCCACCUUAAACGUUAAAGAGAAUAUCGAUACACAAGCAAGAAGUCGCAAAUUUUAGACAAAGAAGACAUUAGCAAGUUUAUUAAUGAAGCAGAUGACAAGAUAUAUUUACUGAUGAAGGUAAACUUAUCAUAUUAGUGUAAUACAAAUCAAAACAACUCGUUUUAUUUAUAGACUGUGCUAAUUUUGGGUAUAUCGGGAGCCCUUCGACGUGAAGAAUUAGUUAAAAUGAAGCUAACUGACAUAGAAGAUAAACAGUCUGUCUUAAUUGUGAAGGUGCCUGAUACAAAAACCCACUGCGAACGAAUAUUUACUGUUUCAAAUUUAGAAAAUAUAGAAAUUGUCAGAAAAUAUAGAGCUUUGCGGCCUCCACGGGCGACUAGUGACCGUUUAUUUUUAAAGUAUACCAACGGAAAAUGUGUGAAUCAAAAUGUUGGAAUUAACAAAAUCGGAGAGAUACCAAGUUUGAUUGCAAAGUGGCUUAACAAAGACGAACCUAAAAAAUAUACUGGUCACUGCUUCAGAAGAAGCUCUGCCACUCUUUUGGCGAAUGCUGGAGGUGAUCUAAUUUCAAUUAAACGUCAUGGGGGCUGGAGAAGCAGCACAGUGGCAGAAAGUUACAUCGAGGACUCUUUGAAUAAUAAAAUUGAAAUUGCCAAUAAAAUUCAACCUUCUUCCUCCACAGAAGAAAACAAAAUCACUCAACCUUCUACAUCGGCUUCUUUUAAUGGCGAAAAUAACUUUCAUUUACAAGCGUCUUCACUCAGGCCUCUGGGGAUAAACGGGGGCACGUUUUCGUCAUGCACAUUUAAUUUUCAUAUGUCAAAGUAAAUAUCUAUUAUUAUUGUUUUGUAAUAUUGUUCUGUAUAAUUAUAAAACCUUUAAAACUA